rnacentral:rRNA from 1 species
CAGCGGCGAACGGGUGAGUAACACGUGGGCAACCUGCCCUUAGCACCGGGAUAACUCCGAGAAAUCGGGGCUAAUACCGGUUAUUACCUUCGGUGGCAUCUUCGAAGGUGGAAAGCUCCGGCGGCUAAGGAUGGGCCCGCGGCCUAUCAGCUUGUUGGUGGGGUAAUGGCCUACCAAGGCGACGACGGGUAGCCGGCCUGAGAGGGCGACCGGCCACACUGGGACUGAGACACGGCCCAGACUCCUACGGGAGGCAGCAGUGGGGAAUAUUGCGCAAUGGGCGAAAGCCUGACGCAGCGACGCCGCGUGAGGGAUGAAGGCCUUCGGGUUGUAAACCUCUUUCAGCAGGGACGAAGCGAAAGUGACUGUACCUGCAGAAGAAGCACCGGCUAACUACGUGCCAGCAGCCGCGGUAAUACGUAGGGUGCGAGCGUUGUCCGGAAUUAUUGGGCGUAAAGAGCUCGUAUGCGGUCUGUCACGUCGGAUGUGAAAACUCGGGGCUCACCCCGAGCCUGCAUUCGAUACGGGCAGACUAGAGUUCGGUAGGGGAGACUGGAAUUCCUGGUGUAGCGGUGAAAUG